rnacentral:miRNA from 1 species
GUAUUCGUUUAUUGUACGAUC